UUCGCGUACCGGGCCCCUCUGGCGUUUGCUGCUCUGCAGUUUGCGUGAUGUCGGACGUGAUC
rfam:Erythrobacter marinus strain HWDM-33 contig2, whole genome shotgun sequence.